GGGGUUUGCAGGUCCUGUGGGCCUUGUGCCCACGGCACAGCACCCAGCAACAUCUUGGGACAUCGAGGGCGCUGACUGAUCUCUCAUCUGGAGAUCAGCUGGUGUGUUGACUCAGUGCCGAAGAGCGGAACGGAGUACAUUUGUUAAAAUAUUGCAGUAUUGUAGAAGCCUGGGGACAAAUCCAACUUUUCAGAGACGUGUGUGUGAGACUGUGCUGUCCCCCAGGGAAAUCUUGGAGCAAGAUCAGGCACUCUCAAAAGAUGCAACACCCAGGUCAGGCAUCCCAAACCCCUCCCAUGAACCCCCUGCAGCAGAAAUUAUCUCCUUCUACAACCCAAACUACCUGAGGACCACUAUAAGCACUGUGGCAAGUCCUGGGCAUUUAGGUUGCAAACAUUUGCCCAGGUGAAACAAGAGGCUCCACGAAGAAUUAAAGGUAAAGCUAAGAAUUUUGUCUUCACAUACUUCACACUAUUGUCUGCUAAUUAACACAAAUAGAAAGUCAAUAAAAUGACCUGAAUUACUGAAAAAUAAGGAGGACUCAUAUUCUAAGGAAGACUGCUGGCUGCUGUCUCCUAUUGCUAGCUUGUAUAUUAAUUAUUUUCCAGCUGAUUCAGAGGGAAGAUAGCCAAGCUGUGAAUCAGCCCUACCUCUUCUUGCAACACCUACCAUUUCCCUAGAUCUCCUCUCCAAAUCCAGCCAGGUCUGGCAGCGCUUUGUUAAUGAGAUCAGUAAUGCCAGCACGAGCUGUAGAGUUGCAGAGUCAGGAGAGAAUUGGAAUAACUCUGCUUUCUUCCACAUUGCAAGGAAAAUGCUAACCGCGAGCUGGAUAUAAUUUUCUCCAGAAGAUGGAUUGAUACUUACAUUUUUGAAGGAUCAGAGGGUUCCUGAUUUCUUUGCCAUGACAUCUGACAGACUGUGCAACAGUGACUCCUUUAAAAAAAAACAACACUGAGAAUCGGAAACACAAAAUAAGCCCUAAUUCCCAGCUCCUGACCACUGUCCAGCAGCCAAGACAUGCCUCCUUGUGUGAGUGAAAGUAGAUAUGACACAGAUUUAAUGAGGCAACAGUUUCUUGUCAGCACCACAGUUCUCCUCAGAAAUGGUAUCCUCAUUCGUUUACUUGACUAAUGCAGUUGUGUUGUGCAAAAAAAAAUGGGAGAAAGCUGUUUGGAGGGCCAAGUAAAUAAGGUUUGAAAAAAACCCCACCCAUAGCUAAAUCAGCACGGUUUGCUGAAGUUUAGACAGGCUUUGGACAUACCAUAGUUUUGAGGAGUUGUGGAGAAGCAUUUCUGGGAACCCUCUGAAAACUUAGGGGGUCUUGUCACCAUGUCUGCAAUGCUUGAGGCUGCACUGGUGGUACAGAGCAUCUAAAAUCAGAAUCAUUGAAUGGUUUGGGUGUUCAGGACCUUCAAGAUCAUCUAGUUCCAACCAGGGACACCUCCCACUGGACCAGGUUGCUUAGAGCCCCCUCCAACCUGGCCUUAAACACUUCCAGGAAUGGUGCAGCCACAGCUUCUGUGGGGUGGAAAUUCUUCAUUAUUAUCGUGUUUUCCUCAAGACUGAAACA